ACUCAGAGAUCUGCCUGCCUCUGCCUCCCGAGCCUCCCAAGCGCUGAGAUCAAAGGUGUGCACCACCUCUGCCCAGCCUCACAGACUCGGAACUUCAGGGAUCUUGAGGUUGGAGUGAAUUGUCCCUCUCCCUUGGACAGACUGUCACAGCACGGUACCUUGUCUACCGCCAAUGUUGAUUCCCAGGAUAUUUCCAGCACUGGGUGGAUGUACUGGGACCAAACCCCACUGUGAAUUGGGGAGCAGCUGCAGUUAAAUGCUGAUACAACCCAUGAAGGAACUGUCUGAAGAUCUAGGCCAUCUGUCUAGACUACAGUGUGGUUAGAGAGCAGCCAGAGGCUCCAAACCCCUGAGGAUGGAAACAAGGCGCAACGACAGGAACGCACUGGGACAAAACAGAGCCUGGAAGUCACGGGGCAUCUGGAUCAGAGACAUAAACAGGUGUUGUGACGUGUGUUUUCCCUAGCUGAUCACACCUCUGUACGCCAACGUUUGCCCUUGCCUCUGAUCAAUAGUCGCACACUCUGAAGUCGGGACAGUAAACAGUGGCACUCGUACUGUUUAUGGUCUCAGGGCUGUCUCCUUCCUGUCACAGAUGUUUCUGCACUGUUGCUUCUGUGAGAACCUUCCGUUGUGUUUACCUUUCUCAGCUCACUGCAGACCAUGUUUUCAUCAUAGUCCAACACAGACCAGAGCUUCUACUUUGACCCCCUGUGGUGUGAGAGUGCAAAGACCACAGUGCUGUAGAGAAAGCUUCUAGCACAAGCAGAUGCCCCGAAUCUCUCGCUCAGAAAUAGGUGAACCCAAGCCAAAAAUAAAUCUGAGUGUGGGCACGUGUCCUAGCUGUCUGAAGGAAAAGUAAAAGGUCCAGCCUGCUCUAAGCACAGGUUUCCCAUCCCACACCCAGCACUCUGGUAAGUGCAAUGGGUUCUUGCUAGGUUUGAAGCAAGUGCAAGUUAAUUGGCCACUGCAAUCCUCCCAUAUCCAAGAUGUAAAUCCACUCACAUUAUAGUAAUACUCAUGUAUAUUGAUAUUUAAUGAUUUUAUUUUCUAUUAUUGUAGUGAUUAAAUUUUCUCAACACAAAUUGCUACAAACUGCUGUGAAAUCUAUUUUGAUGCUGUGUGUAUCAAUUAAAUCUUACAUAGAUUAAA
rnacentral:sRNA from 1 species